rnacentral:rRNA from 1 species
GACGAACGCUGGCGGCGUGCCUAACACAUGCCAGUCGAACGGAAAGGCCCUGCGUUUGUGGGCUGGUCGUGUGGCGACCGGGUGAGUUUCACGUGAGUACCCUGUCCCUGACUUUGGGAUAUCUUCAGGUAACUGGGGCUCUUACCGCCUAGGAGCUCUUGCUGCUUGGUGGGGGUAGGUUAGUUUCGGCGGUUGGGGAUGGAAUAGCGGCUUAUGCGCUUGAUGGGGAGGUUGUGGCUUACCAAGGCUAUGAAGGGUAGCCGGCCUGAGAGGGGGACCGGCCACAAUGGGACUGAGAUACGGCCCAGACUCGUACGGGACGCAGCAGUGGGGAAUAUUACACAAUGGGCGGAAGCCUGAUGCAGCGACGCCGCGUGCGGGAUGACAGCCUUCGGGUUGUAAACCGCUGUCGCCUUAGACGAAGCGAGAGUGACGGUAAUGGGUGAAGAAGCACCGGCUAACUACGUG